GGAGGGUGCAAGCGUUACUCGGAAUUACUGGGCGUAAAGCGCGCGUAGGCGGUUUGGGUAAGUCUGACGUGAAAGCCCAGGGGCUCAACCCUGGAAGUGCAUUGGAUACUGCUAGACUAGAGUAUGGGAGAGGAGAGUGGAAUUCCUGGUGUAGAGGUGAAAUUCGUAGAUAUCAGGAGGAACACCGGCGGCGAAGGCGGCUCUCUGGACCAUUACUGACGCUGAGGUGCGAAAGCGUGGGUAGCAAACAGGAUUAGAUACCCUGGUAGUCCACGCUGUAAACGAUGGACACUAGAUGUCGGGAGAUUCUACCCUCUCGGUGUCGUAGUUAACGCGUUAAGUGUCCCGCCUGGGGAGUACGACCGCAAGGUUA
rnacentral:rRNA from 1 species